rnacentral:lncRNA from 1 species
GCGGUGACUCUUUGGGUGAUGGUGGGGGUGGGGAUUCCUUGGGUGAUUCUUUGGGUGAUGGAGAUGGUGGUGAUUUGACAAUGGGCGAAGGAGAUGAAGAUGGUGGUGGAGUUUUAUAUGUUGGAAAUGGUGGGAAAGUAGGUAGAGGUGGGGGCUUGAAAUGAGGCGGAAAAUUAGGAUGUUUAUGAUGUGGUGGAGGCUUGAAGGUAAAUGGAGAUGGUGGGGAUUCUAUCGGAGGAACUGAUCCUGGUGGUGGCGGUGGACAUGUGUUAAUAUAAUGAGGUGGACCCGAGUAUGACGGUGGUGAUGGAGUUGGUGAGGGGGAACUUUUCGGGGGAGAUUUAUAGACGUAAGGUGAUGGUGAAGGUGAGGGAGAUGGUUGUUCUUUGGAUGGAGAUGGGGGAGAUUUGUAGACGUAAGGCGAUGGAGGAGAUUCAGUUGGGGGUGUUGAUGGUGAACUUGAUGGAGGGGGUUUGUAGGUGAAGGGCGAUGGAGGAGUUUCGGGGGAAGAUGAUGUUGGAGGAGGUGUUAGGCAUGCAUUGAUCGGAGGUGAUGGUGGAGGAGGAGGUGUUAGGCAUGCAUUGAUCGGAGGUGAUGGUGAUGGUGAAGUUGAUGGCGGAGACUUAUAGACGUAAGGAGAUGGAGGAGAUUCUUUUGGUGCCGGAGAUGGAGAUGGUGGAGAUUUAUAUACAAAAGGUGAUGGAGGAGAUUCUUUUGGUUUUGGAGAUGGAGAGGGGGAGGAUGAUGGUGGAGAUUUGUAGACAAAAGGAGAUGGAGGGGAUUCUUUAGGAGUUGAAGGAGAAGAGGGUGGUGGUGGGGGACAAGUGUUGAUAUAGUGAGGUGGAGCUUCAUGUGAAGGUGUUGAUGGACUUGGUGAUGGAGAGGAUGAUGGUGGAGAUUUGUAGACAAAAGGGGCAGGACCAGAUUCAGUUGGUGGAGGUGGUGAGACAUACACGUAUUUUUUAGGUGGUGGAGGUGGUGAGACAUACACGUAAGGAGCUUUUUUAGGUGGUGGUGGUGUAGAUGCAACCAGGGGUGCUGGUGGAAUUUCCUUAACUGGUGGAGGUGGGGAGAGAAAGAGGUGAGGUGGAGGCGGGGAAGGUGAAGGUGGAGGCGGGGAAGGUGGUGGUGAAGGCGGGGGAGGUGAGGGUGGAGGUGGCGAAGGUGGUGGUGAAGGCGGGGGAGGUGAGGGUGGAGGAGGCGAAGGUGGUGGUGAAGGCGGGGGAGGUGAGGGCGGAGGAGGUGAAGGUGGUGGAGAAGGCGGUGGAGGUGAAGGUGGAGGAGGCGAAUGUGGUGGUGACGGUGGUGGAGGUGAAGGAGGGGGCGGCGAAUGCACUGGCGGUGGUGGAGAGGGAGUCGAUGGUGGUGGCGGAGAGGUAUAAGUAUACGGCGGAGGGGAGGCCGGUGGUGGUGGAGAAACAUAACUAUAAGCUGGCCUCCCUUCCACCGCAAAACUACUCAAG